GACACUUUGGCGGAGUGGUUAUCGCGCAGGCCUGCUAAGCCUGUUCCUUCGUAGGUUACCCAAAAUAAAAAUCGAAGAUGUACAACUAACAAACACAGGGGAGCCAGGGUUCGAAUCCCUGAGGUGUCG